GCCGAUGUAGCUCAGUGGUAGAGCAACUGAUUCGUAAUCAGUAGGUCGUCAGUUCGACUCUGACCCUCGGCUCCA
rnacentral:tRNA from 1 species